rnacentral:rRNA from 1 species
UGAAUACGAGACGCUACGGCGUCGAAGCAGUCUAUGUCAUACUUCCAAGAAAAGCUUGCACUGUCAUAAACAAAUAAUGCCUGUACCAUAACCGACACAGGUGGGUAGGUAGAGUAUACUAAGGGGCGCGAGAUAACUCUCUCUAAGGAACUCGGCAAAAUGACUCCGUAACUUCGGGAGAAGGAGUGCCUUAUUUAUAAGGUUGCAAUAACAAGAUCCAAGCAACUGUUUAUCAAAAACACAGGUCUCCGCUAAGUCGUAAGACGAUGUAUGGGGGCUGACGCCUGCCCAGUGCCAGAAGGUUAAAGAAGUUGGUUAGCAUUAGCGAAGCUGAUAACUGAAGCCCUGGUGAACGGCGGCCGUAACAAUAACGGUCCUAAGGUAGCGAAAUUCCUUGUCGGGUAAGUUCCGACCCGCACGAAAGGCGUAAUGAUUUGGAUACUGUCUCGGAGAGGGGCUCGGUGAAAUAGACUUGUCUGUGAAGAUGCGGACUACCUGCACCUGGACAGAAAGACCCUAUGAAGCUUUACUGUAACCUGAAAUUGAAAUUGGACUUUAUUUGCGCAGUAUAGGUGGGAGGCGUUGAGAAUAUUCUUGCGGGAAUAUUGGAGCCAUCAGUGAGAUACCACUCUUGUAAUGUUAGAUUUCUAACUUUGAAUCAUUAUCUGGUCAAAGAACAGUUUCAGGCGGGCAGUUUGACUGGGGCGGUCGCCUCCUAAAUGGUAACGGAGGCGCACAAAGGUUUCCUCUGAACGGGUAGAAAUCGUAUCUAGAGUGUAAAGGCAUAAGGAAGCUUGACUGUGAGACCUACAAGUCGAGCAGGGACGAAAGUCGGUCUUAGUGAUCUGACGGUGCUGAGUGGAAAGGCCGUCACUCAACGGAUAAAAGUUACUCUAGGAUAACAGGCUGAUCUCCCCCAAGAGUUCACAUCGACGGGGAGGUUUGGCACCUUGAUGUCGGCUCAUCGCAUCCUGGGGCGGUAGUACGUCCCAAGGGUUGGGCUGUUCGCCCAUGAAAGCGGUACGCGAGCUGGGUUCAGAACGUCGUGAGACAGUUCGGUCCAUAUCCGGUGUAGGCGUUAGAAUAUUGAGAGGAGCCUUCUUUAGUACGAGAGGACCGAAAAGGACAUACCUCUGGUGUACCAGUUAUCGUGCCAACGGUAAACGCUGGGUAGCUAUGUAUGGAGAGGAUAACCGCUGAAAGCAUCUAAGUGGGAAGCCCCACCUCAAGAUAAG